rnacentral:lncRNA from 1 species
AACAGGCCAGGGUGUGUGUUGUGUCCCCUGUUGUGUGCAUGAUGCAGGCUGACCUUCCUCCAUCCUUGUCUUUAAAAAAUCAGGUUGCAGACAGAAAACUGAAAGCGCUGCUGAAUGGCUCGACACCAACUUGGGUCGAUUCUCCUCUUUAGCCAGUUACUCAGACCUCAAGUCCCUGAACAUUAGCAUGGUAACGUACCAUCUUUUUCUUAUCUUUCCUUUCUACAGUUUUGUUGUUGUUGUUUGUUUGCUUGGUUUAGGUCAGGCACCAAAGCACUGGCGGUCUUGCAUAAUGUCCUCUGGUGUUGUGUUUUUGCUUUGUUCAUCUUAGUUGGCAGCUCUGGGAUCCCUAGCACCCGAUCAGAAAGCAGAGCUACUGUUGGAUCCAUCCACCGAUGCUCUAGACAAUGUCACCGUGGUACAGGAGGUGUUGACCAGCAUACUGACGUCUCCAGAUGAGAAACAACUUGAGAUGUUUUUUGAAACAUUUGUGAAAGUCAGCAAAGUGGUGAGUAAUGUUUGUAGGUAGGUCUUCAGAAUGACUAACCUUUAUGAGCUGAACCGGAUUUUAGAUAUUUAAACAAGCCAACAGCAACCCCUCCUUCCUCCACCCCUUCAGGAAAGUAUAACCUACAUCGAAAAUGUGGCUGUCCGAGACACAAUGCUGAAUCUGACCAUGACUGCCCUGGCUCCCAAACUUCCCCUAUUUGAAACAAGCGACUAUGAGCUGUGGUUCCAAACCAAUCUGGUGGUCCUGCUGGCCAGCUUCAGUCCUACAGUGCUGGAAGUCAUCCCUGCCAACAUCACAUGCGAAUCUUACCAAGCAAUGUGAGCAAACCAGCCCCCUUGGCUUUAAUUUCUCAAUCGUUCUGUAGAAAUAAAAGUGGAGAUUGAGCAAUGUUGUUUGUUUUGACAGACUGGAAGGCAUGAAGAUAGCUUUGGCAGAUCUUCCGUCAGGAGUUGGAGUAGAGCUAAAUUCAAGUGUAGACACACUUCAACAUUCACCACCAAAAGCCUGCACGACUCCACCACCCACCACACCCCCCACAGUGCCCCCCACCAUGCCAUCCACCACACCGUCCCCAGUACCACCCACUGCACCACCGACCGUGUCCCCCACCGCUGUUGUAAGUACUUCAUCUGGUGGCAUUAUGCCCAAGAUAAGCUCUUCCUAAUUCUUUUCUCUAAUUUUUG